rnacentral:misc_RNA from 1 species
AACGCACGAGACCUGCGGACCUGCGGAAGGAUCAUUAAUGAGAAACUGCCCCUCGCGGGUAGAUCUCCCACCCUUUGUAAACUUACCUUUGUUGCUUUGGCAGGCCCGUCUCCGGACCGCCGGCUUCGGCUGGCCAGUGCCUGCCAGAGGAUUCUAAAACUCUGUCUGUCGGUGUUGUCUGAGUCUAUAUACAAUCGUUAAAACUUUCAACAAUGGAUCUCUAGAUCGGAAGAGCACACG